UAAUACGUAGGUGGCAAGCGUUGUCCGGAUUUAUUGGGCGUAAAGCGCGCGCAGGUGGUUCGUUGCGUCCGAGGUGAAAUCUCCCGGCUCAACUGGGAGGGGUCUUCGGAUACGGGCGGACUAGAGGAGAGCAGAGGUAGGCGGAAUUCUGGGUGUAGUGGUGAAAUGCGUAGAUAUCCAGAGGAACACCAGUGGCGAAGGCGGCCUACUGGGCUCCACCUGACACUGAGGCGCGAAAGCGUGGGGAGCGAACCGGAUUAGAUACCCGGGUAGUCCACGCCGUAAACGAUGGGCACUAGGUGUGAGGGGUAUUGACCCCCCUCGUGCCGUAGCUAACGCGUUAAGUGCCCCGCCUGGGGAGUACGGCCGCAAGGCUA
rnacentral:rRNA from 1 species